CAUAAAAUAAAUAAAACUCACCAAUCAAAGUGUGGAAGUCUCCGAACACCCGCUCCAUGGAUCGUGUGAGGCACAGCGACCACUUCAGCCCGCUGCCCAUGACCGCUCCACUUCUUAGCUCCGAAGUUGAUGUCUGUUGGAAGAUGCGAGCGGGUCGGUGAUGUCGCAGCAGAAGCCCGCUCCAGCUCACGCUCACGCUCAUGGUACGGCGAGAGCACUAUCCGCUGUGUGUUGCCCGCUCCAGCACUUUUAAGUUCCCGAGCGGGUUUGUCUUCCCGCAAAACCAAGCCGCUGUAUGUUCCGUUCGAUUCCGAGCGGUGAUCUUGGACCGCUGCAUCAAGUCGCUAAGAGGUGAGCUCCAACGUCUUCUUCUUCACCUUGUCCAAGCUCGAUCUGCGAUUUUUCCACCAUUAGAGCACUGGUCCAAGAUCCUCGGUCAUCUCCUCCGCCAUGAAAGGACCACUGCUGCACUCCUCCGUAGCGUCCCAGAGAUCCACUCGUCGUCGUCGCUUCAAGCCUCGCCGCUGCGAAGCUUCACCGCGACCAAACCUCCAUGGCGUCAAUGUCUCCAUCUCCGCCGCUUGCUCCGCCACGGGAUCUCUCGUCCAAGUCAGCUCAGAUCCCCGUCGUGCUCUGCUCUGGUGAGGCUCGUCGUCGCUUCGCCGUCGUCGGAGUUGUGCUCCAGAUUCCACGAAGAGAAGGCUCGUACUCAACAAUGGUGCAUUUCCUCCUAUUUGCGCAUCUGGUCCUUCGUCUUUCGGGACAAAAUUUCAUGCUUCAGUUUGUGAACAACUCAUCAAAAAAUUUGAAGGUUGUCUAGUUAUUCAAAGUGUACGAUGCUAUCGGACAAGCUCUCAUCCGUACAAAAUUGGGUUCUUCCAUGCGACUUUUGUUGCAAAACCAAAUGAUUUUCCAAGUGAAGUUUCCGAGGAGUAUUUGGCUGAUUACACUGAAAUUCCUGGUGGAAAAGCUGAUAACAGCUGUUUGGUUGGUGCUUACUCCAUAUCUAGCGGGUGGAAUUCAAUCCAAAUUUUACUCAACCCAACAUGGAUUUGGUUGACCAGUUCAAAACAAGUCUCCCUAAUGAUUCACUUGCUCUUACAAACAACGAUAGUACCCAAUGGUCUGUUGGUACUGCUACAUCUGUUCGUGCCAAGUUUUUUGUUCUUAAUGAGAAGAGAAUCAUAAGAGAGAUCAUUGAUAGUACUCUGGUAUAUAAACUAAACUCUCCAUUUUAGUUGACUAUAAUCCAGUUUUCACACUAUUUCGAUGAUGGUUUCUAAUGGAUUUUGCUUUCUUUAUCGAAAAUGUUACUUCUUAAUUUAUAUUACUUAUGGAUUAUAUUCUGACUUUUAUUAUAUGUUCUUUAAAUAUGUCAUUAUUUUUAAAUACAAUGGAAGAUAUAUAGA